rnacentral:tRNA from 1 species
AUGGAGUCUUGCUCCCAUGCUGGAGUGCAGUGGCGUGAUCUCGGCUGACUGUAACCUCCGCCUCCCGGGUUCAAGUGAUUCUCCUGCCUCAGCCUCCGGAGUAGCUGGGAUUACAGCAAAGAUAUCCAGACGCUGUAUGCAGGAAGAACUGAAUUUCAGAGGACACCGUUUGAUCUUCAACACCUGGCAGUUUACAAAACAGAGACGGGGUGUCGCCAUGUUGCCCAGGCUGGUCUCGAACUCUGGAGCUCAAGCGAUCUGCCUGCCUCGGCCUUUCAAAGUGCUGAGACUACAGCCUGAAGAGGAGAGGGGGAAUCCUGGUGAGAAGCAUUUGGAAUUCAAGCUCAGAGAAGAAGACACGGAGUCCCAGCUGAGAACUCAAACUGGUAGAAGGAAGAUUAUUUUUCCUUCUCUAUAGGUGCUUGGAGGUAACGAGGGGAAAGGAGUUGAAAGGAAGGUGACAUUUCAGGUAUUGAUGGGACAGCACGUGCGAGGCCUAGAGGACUGAAAGUUCUUGAUGGGAUCUGUCAGAAGAAAACAGCUGCGUGUACAGGGGAGAAGUGGGAGGGGCGGGUCGGCUAGCGAGCUGAGACGGAGCUGCGCGUGCGUCGAAGUCGGGGCUGUGGGGGCGGGGUGGGUCCGGGGCGCGCUCACCGGAUCGCCGGCGAGCUACGGCUACCACCCGUCAUCUCUUUUCAGCUAAUCUGCUUCGCGCUACUUUUUUGAGGUGGGCACCUGGGAUGGAGGCAAGGAAUCACGAAGUGGCGUCUCCUCGGAAGGGGCAGCCUGAUGUCUUUAACCACUGAACUGUGGUUUCCAACUGGAUGCGCUUUGGGUUCAGGGCUAAGACACGCGUAGGCGGUGCAGACAGUUCAAUUCGUGGGCGGCUUUUUCUCUCCCCUGCGCGGUUUUGCAGAACUGAGGAUUCACGUUUGCCACGCAGUCUCUAAAUGUAAGGAGAACUUGCUUUAUUUAACGAAUGUGUAUUCAGCUGCCAAAGAACAAGCUAAUCACCCUUCCUCCCCACGCCCGACUUAGCCUCCUCCCAGCCCUCGCCGGAUUUCUGCAUCGGAAUUGGAUUGGAUCACACACAAAAGAAGAGCCCAGGAACUCGUUCACCACCUUGCACCUUGCCUGUUAGUUCACGGCAUAAUGGUAACAGAGUCUUCAUUAAUGGAAGCAACGUUACUACCGUGAGCCCGGAUAGCUCAGUCGGUAGAGCAUCAGACUUUUAAUCUGAGGGUCCAGGGUUCAAGUCCCUGUUCGGGCGGUAUCUUUUUUUUCCUCAUUAAAAGAGUAAGAACCAAUUUUAGGAUCUUUUGUUUGUUAACACACUGCAAAAGAAGGGAAUAAAGUCCUGGAUUGUGUAAACUGCGACCCCAAACACUUCUCGGAGGGUAAGCCCUCUAUGGGGAUAGGCCUUUGUGCAGAGGUAUACGGGAAACUUCUAAUCCAUCACUUUGGGGGCUGUAAUAGGCAGAUUAUUCUGUAGCCACCAGCCGGGCUGCUGUAUCCCAACAGCGGAUAUAUCAAAGGACC